UACGUAGGGUGCAAGCGUUAAUCGGAAUUACUGGGCGUAAAGCGUGCGCAGGCGGUUGUGCAAGACAGAUGUGAAAUCCCCCGGGCUCAACCUGGGAAUUGCAUUUGUGACUGCACGGCUAGAGUGUGUCAGAGGGGGGUAGAAUUCCACGUGUAGCAGUGAAAUGCGUAGAGAUGUGGAGGAAUACCGAUGGCGAAGGCACUUUACUGGGCUAUUACUAACACUCAGAGACGAAAGCUAGGGUAGCAAAUGGG
rnacentral:rRNA from 1 species